UACGAAGGGGGCUAGCGUUGUUCGGAAUUACUGGGCGUAAAGCGCACGUAGGCGGAUUGUUAAGUCGGGGGUGAAAUCCUGAGGCUCAACCUCAGAACUGCCUUCGAUACUGGCGAUCUUGAGUUCGGAAGAGGUUGGUGGAACAGCUAGUGUAGAGAUGAAAUUCGUAGAUAUUAGCUAGAACACCAGUGGCGAAGGCGGCCAACUGGUCCGACACUGACGCUGAGGUGCGAAAGCGUGGGGAGCAAACAGG
rnacentral:rRNA from 1 species